rnacentral:hammerhead_ribozyme from 1 species
ACCUGGCUAAAGAGUCCCGAAUAGGACGAAACGCACGUCAAACUGGAU